AUACGUAGAGGGCGAGCGUCGUCCGGAAUCACUGGGCGUAAAGGGUACGCAGGCGGAAAUACAAGUCAAAUGUGAAAGGUACCGGCUCAACCGGUGAAAUGCAUUUGAAACUGUAUAUCUUGAGUAUAGGAGAGGAGAGCGGAAUUCCUGGUGUAGCGGUGGAAUGCGUAGAUAUCAGGAAGAACACCAGUGGCGAAGGCGGCUCUCUGGCCUACAACUGACGCUCAUGUACGAAAGCUGGGGGAGAGAACGGGAUUAGAUACCCCGGUAGUCCCAGCCGUAAACGAUGGACACCAGGUGUUGGGGGUUCGAAUCCUUCAGUGCCGCAGUUAACGCAAUAAGUAUCCCACCUGGGGAGUACGGCCGCAAGGUUGAA
rnacentral:rRNA from 1 species